rnacentral:tRNA from 1 species
GCGACCUGUCCGGCGGACUGGACUCCACCUCCGUCUGCUUCCUGGCCGCCCGCUCCACCGCGUCCGUGGUGGC